rnacentral:rRNA from 1 species
UGGCGGACGGGUGAGUAAUGUCUGGGAAACUGCCUGAUGGAGGGGGAUAACUACUAGAAACGGUAGCUAAUACCGCAUAACGUCGCAAGACCAAAGAGGGGGACCUUAGGGCCUCUUGCCAUCGGAUGUGCCCAGAUGGGAUUAGCUAGUAGGUGGGGUAACGGCUCACCUAGGCGACGAUCCCUAGCUGGUCUGAGAGGAUGACCAGCCACACUGGAACUGAGACACGGUCCAG